GACGAACGCUGGCGGCGUGCUUAACACAUGCAAGUCGAACGGUAAGGCCCUUCGGGGUACACGAGUGGCGAACGGGUGAGUAACACGUGGGUGAUCUGCCCUGCACUUCGGGAUAAGCCUGGGAAACUGGGUCUAAUACCGGAUAGGACCACUGCCUGCAUGGGUGGGGGUGGAAAGCUUUUACGGUGUGGGAUGGGCCCGCGGCCUAUCAGCUUGUUGGUGGGGUGAUGGCCUACCAAGGCGACGACGGGUAGCCGGCCUGAGAGGGUGACCGGCCACACUGGGACUGAGAUACGGCCCAGACUCCUACGGGAGGCAGCAGUGGGGAAUAUUGCACAAUGGGCGCAAGCCUGAUGCAGCGACGCCGCGUGAGGGAUGACGGCCUUCGGGUUGUAAACCUCAUUCAGCACCGACGAAGCGCAAGUGACGGUAGGUGCAGAAGAAGGACCGGCCAACUACGUGCCAGCCGCCGCCGUAAGAC
rnacentral:rRNA from 1 species